GUGCUUGCUUUGGCAGCACAUAUACUAAAACUGGAAUGAUAUAGAGAAGAUUAGCAUGGUCUCUGUCCAAGGAUGACAUGCAAAAUAAUGAAGUAUUCCAUUAAAAA
rnacentral:snRNA from 1 species